UACAGAGGGGGCAAGCGUUGUUCGGAAUUACUGGGCGUAAAGGGCGCGUAGGCGGCCUUCUAAGUCGAACGUGAAAUCCCUGGGCUCAACCCAGGAACUGCGUCCGAUACUGGAAGGCUUGAAUCCGGGAGAGGGAUGCGGAAUUCCAGGUGUAGCGGUGAAAUGCGUAGAUAUCUGGAGGAACACCGGUGGCGAAGGCGGCAUCCUGGACCGGCAUUGACGCUGAGGCGCGAAAGCCAGGGGAGCAAACGGA
rnacentral:rRNA from 1 species